rnacentral:rRNA from 1 species
AGGACGAACGCUGGCGGCGUGCUUAACACAUGCAAGUCGAGCGGAAAGGCCCACUUGUGGGUACUCGAGCGGCGAACGGGUGAGUAACACGUGAGUAAUCUGCCCUUCACUCAGGGAUAACUUCCAGAAAUGGGUGCUAAUACCUGAUAUGACCUGUCCCUGCAUGGGGGUGGUGGAAAGUUUUUUCGGUGGGGGAUGUGCUCGCGGCCUAUCAGCUUGUUGGUGGGGUGAUGGCCUACCGAAGGCGACGACGGGUA